rnacentral:tRNA from 1 species
ACCUGGAUAGCUCAGUUGGUAGAUCAUGAGAUUCUUAAUCUCUGGAUUUUGGGUUUGAGCCCCACAUUGGGUG